rnacentral:rRNA from 16 species
UUAAAUUGAAGAGUUUGAUCAUGGCUCAGAUUGAACGCUGGCGGCAGGCCUAACACAUGCAAGUCGAACGGUAACAGGAAGCAGCUUGCUGCUUUGCU